CCUACGGGUGGCAGCAGUGGGGAAUAUUGCACAAUGGGGGAAACCCUGAUGCAGCAACGCCGCGUGAGUGAAGAAGUAUUUCGGUAUGUAAAGCUCUUUCAGCAGGGAAGAAGAUGACGGUACCUGAUUAAGAAGCCCCGGCUAACUACGUGCCAGCAGCCGCGGUAAUACGUAGGGGGCAAGCGUUAUCCGGAUUUACUGGGUGUAAAGGGAGCGCUGACGGCAGUGCAAGUCUAGAGGGAAAGCCCGGGGCCAAACCCCGGAACUGCGCUGGAAACUGUGCGGCUAGAGUGCUGGAGGGGCAGGAGGAAUGCGUGGUGUAGCGGUGAAAUGCAUAGAUAUCAGGAGGAACACCAGUUGCGAAGGCGGCCUGCUGGACAGUAACUGACGUUGAGGCUCGAAAGCGUGGGGAGCAAACAGGAUUAGAUACCCGAGUAGUC
rnacentral:rRNA from 1 species